rnacentral:ncRNA from 2 species
GUCAGGAUAGCUCAGUUGGUAGAGCAGA